rnacentral:rRNA from 1 species
AUUGAACGCUGGCGGCAUGCCUUACACAUGCAAGUCGAACGGUAACAGCACUUCGGUGGCUGACGAGUGGCGAACGGGUGAGUAAUACAUCGGAACGUGCCCGAGAGUGGGGGAUAACGCAGCGAAAGCUGUGCUAAUACCGCAUACGAUCUACGGAUGAAAGCAGGGGAUUCGCAAGGACCUUGCGCUCAUGGAGUGGCCGAUGGCAGAUUAGGUAGUUGGUGGGAUAAAAGCUUACCAAGCCGACGAUCUGUAGCUGGUCUGAGAGGACGACCAGCCACACUGGGACUGAGACACGGCCCAGACUCCUACGGGAGGCAGCAGUGGGGAAUUUUGGACAAUGGGCGAAAGCCUGAUCCAGCCAUGCCGCGUGCAGGAUGAAGGCC